rnacentral:rRNA from 1 species
UACGUAGGAGGCAAGCGUUUGUCCGGAAUUACUGGGCGUAAAGCGCGUGUAGGUGGUGGGACAAGUCUGCUGUGAAAGCGCCUGGCUUAACCGGGCGAGGUCGGCGGAAACUGUCCGACUAGAGGACGGUAGAGGGGGGUGGAAUUCCCGGCGUAGUGGUGAAAUGCGUAGAGAUCGGGAGGAACACCUGUGGCGAAGGCGGCCCCCUGGGCCGGCC